rnacentral:tRNA from 1 species
GGUAGGUAGCUCAAUGGUAGAGUGCUUGCCUUGCAUGCAUGAGGACCUGGGUUCGAUUCCUCAGCACCA